AUUGAACGCUGGCGGCAGGCCUAACACAUGCAAGUCGAGCGGAUGAAGGGAGCUUGCUCCUGGAUUCAGCGGCGGACGGGUGAGUAAUGCCUAGGAAUCUGCCUGGUAGUGGGGGAUAACGUCCGGAAACGGGCGCUAAUACCGCAUACGUCCUGAGGGAGAAAGUGGGGGAUCUUCGGACCUCACGCUAUCAGAUGAGCCUAGGUCGGAUUAGCUAGUUGGUGGGGUAAAGGCCUACCAAGGCGACGAUCCGUAACUGGUCUGAGAGGAUGAUCAGUCACACUGGAACUGAGACACGGUCCAGACUCCUACGGGAGGCAGCAGUGGGGAAUAUUGGACAAUGGGCGAAAGCCUGAUCCAGCCAUGCCGCGUGUGUGAAGAAGGUCUGCGGAUUGUAAAGCACUUUAAGUUGGGAGGAAGGGCAGUAAGUUAAUACCUUGCUGUUUUGGCGUUACCAACAGAAUAAGCACCGGCUAACUUCGUG
rnacentral:rRNA from 1 species